rnacentral:rRNA from 1 species
UUCGGCGGCCAUAGCGAGAGGGAAACGCCCGGUCACAUUCCGAACCCGGAAGCUAAGACUCUCUGCGCCGAUGGUACUGCAAGGGGAGCAUGCCCCCGAAG